UUAACAUUUCAUAAUUUCUAAAACCUGCUCGUGACAGAACAGCUAAUAUAUUUUUGUUGUUGCUGUUGUUUUCUCCUUUUCUUAUUUUUGGGUAGUAAAAGUUAGUUUGUAUUCAUAAUGAAUAAAUGCGUUAAAAGUCCUGUCAACUUUUUUGACAGAUGUAAAAAUGUGAUUGAUUUCUGGCAUGUGUUUAUUUUUCCCCCACAGAGUGAUUUUAAUUUGCGUAUUUUUUUUUCUUUCUUUUAAGGAGUGAGUUGAUGCAAGAUGGAGAGAGGAGAAGGAAAAGGGGCCUACCAAAAAAUAGCAGCACAAAGGACAGUGAACAAGAUCAUGUUGUCCAGAUGCCAACUUCAGGAAAAACAACUGUCCGGUUUUCCUCAAGGCACCUGGAGUGAGCAGAAGUCCAGCCACCAGUUUUUCGUUAUUGCAAAAAUCCUCAACCCUCUGAAGACGGUUAUUUUGCUUCAUUCUCUGUUCAUGACUAUGACCUUUUAUAACACUUUGUCAUUUAUUUCAUGCCCGUACCACAGAUAUGAAUGAAAAUCUAGUCUGUUUCUAUUAGCAGGAUGAAUGGAAUUGUUCUUCAGUUGUACCCAAGCACCUUUAUAUUAAAUCAAAUUGCUUCAUGGUCAGACAGAGUCUUUCUAUUUUUUCCCCUCCUCUAUCAUAACAGUUGCUGGUAGUUGGAAUACUGACAGAAUUUCUACUGAAGCUCCUUUUUUUUUCUUUUUGAAAGUCAUUGCUUGUUGUUUCGUAGGUUAAUGAAUAAAGCAUUAUUUUUUUAAGGCA
rnacentral:lncRNA from 1 species